UGGCGGGUAACUGAUAAUAUUUUAAUGAUGACUUUGAGAGUACUUGUUGGAUAGAAUGAAAUUUUUUGUUAUUCAGAGAACCAAGAUUUACUUUGCAAAGGAUUUUUCGACACUCAAGAAUAUAUAAUUUAUUUGAUUAUAGUGAGUAUGACUGAUUAUGAAGUGAGUAUUCUUCAUGGAAUAAUAGUUAUAUUUAUAAGAUCAACAUUGAUUGUAGGUUUACGUUUUUAUUGGAAUAAUUUACUUUAGAUAUAU
rnacentral:lncRNA from 1 species